rnacentral:lncRNA from 1 species
GUUUCUCAACUGACAUAUAAUUAUCUAAUGUGCUUGAUGUGCCAAAAAUUGCGGCUCUGGAUGGAUGAACUGAAAGUACAGAAAGAGAAACAGAAAAUACCUGAAGCAUUUGGUUGGAAGGAGGAAAAGUCAUGAUGCAACUGAAUCUUGCACUUAACAAAGAAGAACAGAGAUAAUGAGAACCUAACAAGAAAGAGCAGGGAUAAUGGUGGAGUCAUAUCACCAAGCAAACAGUAAAGAUGAGCAUGUAGACUUGACUCGUCUUUUCGUCCAAUGGUCUUCCAACCAAUUUCCAGAUCUAAUGAGAUAGGGCCAGGGCUGUCAAGAUGAGCAGCUGAAGUUCAGCUCUCAAGUCCCAGAUCUGCAAAAGUAUUUAGGCCUGCCAGAUCUCCGUGCUUUGCCUAGAGACUUCCUCCACAAGGACAGACUGCAAAUCAACUUGUUUUCUUCUUUUAUGUGUGUCAGUGAGAUGUUUAGGGCUAGUCCCCAGAAAGGGUGGAGAAACAAUCCAGGUGUGAAAAUGCAUGCAUGUAUAUGCUUGCAAUUAAACUGUAACAACUGGAACCAUAUUUACAGA